rnacentral:rRNA from 1 species
AGCAUGUGGUUUAAUUCGAAGCAACGCGAAGAACCUUACCAGGCCUGACAUGCAGAGAACUUUCCAGAGAUGGAUUGGUGCCUUCGGGAACUCUGACACAGGUGCUGCAUGGCUGUCGUCAGCUCGUGUCGUGAGAUGUUGGGUUAAGUCCCGCAACGAGCGCAACCCUUGCCUUUAGUUGCCAGCAGUUCGGCUGGGCACUCUAAAGGGACUGCCGGUGUUAAACCGGAGGAAGGUGGGGAUGACGUCAAGUCCUCAUGGCCUUUAUGACCAGGGCUACACACGUACUACAAUGGCCGAUACAAAGGGCAGCGACACUGCGAGGUGGAGCCAAUCCCGUAAAAUCGGUCUCAGUCCGGAUUGGAGUCUGCAACUCGACUCCAUGAAGUUGGAAUCGCUAGUAAUCGUGGAUCAGCAUGCCACGGUGAAUACGUUCCCGGGCCUU